rnacentral:rRNA from 1 species
GACGAACGCUGGCGGCGUGCUUAACACAUGCAAGUCGAACGGAAAGGCCCUGCUUUUGUGGGGUGCUCGAGUGGCGAACGGGUGAGUAACACGUGAGUAACCUGCCCUUGACUUUGGGAUAACUUCAGGAAACUGGGGCUAAUACCGGAUAGGAGCUCCUGCUGCAUGGUGGGGGUUGGAAAGUUUCGGCGGUUGGGGAUGCACUCGCGGCUUAUCAGCUUGUUGGUGGGGUAGUGGCUUACCAAGGCUUUGACGGGUAGCCGGCCUGAGAUGGUGACCGGCCACAUUGGGACUGAGAUACGGCCCAGACUCCUACGGGAGGCAGCAGUGGGGAAUAUUGCACAAUGGGCGGAAGCCUGAUGCAGCAACGCCGCGUGCGGGAUGACGGCCUUCGGGUUGUAAACCGCUUUCGCCUGUGACGAAGCGUGAGUGACGGUAAUGGGUAAAGAAGCACCGGCUAACUACGUG